rnacentral:lncRNA from 1 species
GUAAACACCUGACGUCGUACCGACGUUGGUUAGACGUUGGAUUUUGGUCGCGACGUCGGCGACCUGAUUCCAACGUCUAACCAACGUCAUAACCACGACGUCUAAUAGACGUCAGAGUUAGACGUCUAGGAGACGUUGGAAUUUGGUUGGAUAGAAAGUCUGUUUAAAUGUUUUCAUUUAUGAAAUUAACUGGUGUAAUUUUGCUAUAAUAGUUUAAAGUUAGUUAUGCCUGAACAUGCGCUUAUAAAUAAUAGUUCAUUAGCACAUCAAACAUUAUCAUUAAUUAUGUUACAAAAUCGCAUGAGAUUGUCUAUUUUCGGAAACGGAUUUCUUUUUUAACAAUUUAAAACUGUUCAGGAAAAAAAUGCAUUCUAUACACAUGUAUAAAUUAUUCUAAAUUCACCUAAGGAUCUUCUUCUACACAUGUUGUUUAUUAGUCAUGCCUUCGCCGCGAGAUAAGCCUGCAUCGGUUUACACAAGUCUUCCGGUAACUUGAUAUUUGUGGGAUAAGAUAGCAGGUUUAUAAAUACUUUACACAAAGGGAUCCGCAACAUGGGAAUUUUAGCGGAGUUGAAGAAUCAUGCAGACAUGACUAAACUUGAAAGUUUCAAUUACUGGAUUACCUUUUUUGGAUUUAUGAUAUUAGACUUAUGUCGCUAUCAUGUGAAAUAAAGAUGAUAAAAUA